GUCUAUGGCCAUACCACCCUGAACGUGCCCAAUCUCAUCUGAUCUCAGAAGCUAAACAGGGUCAGGCAUGGUUAGUACUUGGAUGGGAGACUUCAUGGGAAUACCAGGUGCUGUAGGUU
rnacentral:rRNA from 1 species